UACGUAGGGUGCAAGCGUUGUCCGGAAUUAUUGGGCGUAAAGAGCUCGUAGGCGGUUUGUUGCGUCGGCUGUGAAAUCCCGAGGCUCAACCUCGGGUCUGCAGUCGAUACGAGCAAACUAGAGUGUUGCAGGGGAGACUGGAAUUCCUGGCGUAGCGGUGAAAUGCGCAGAUAUCAGGAGGAACACCGAUGGCGAAGGCAGGUCUCUGGGCAUUAACUGACGCUGAGGAGCGAAAGCAUGGGGAGCGAACAGG
rnacentral:rRNA from 1 species